rnacentral:misc_RNA from 2 species
AACGCACAUUGCGCCCGCCAGUAUUCUGGCGGGCAUGCCUGUUCGAGCGUCAUUUCAACCAUCAAGCCCCGGGCUUGUGUUGGGGACCUGCGGCUGCCGCAGGCCCUGAAAUGCAGUGGCGGGCUCGCUGUCACUCCGAGCGUAGUAAUACAUCUCGCUCUGGACGUGCUGCGGGUUCCGGCCGUUAAAAGCCUUAUUUACCCAAGGUUGACCUCGGAUCAGGUAGGAAGACCCGCUGAACUUAA